GCCUGGGUGGCUCAGUUGGUUGAGCAUAGGACUUUGGCUCAGGUCGUGAUCUCACAAUUUGUGGGUUCAAGCCCCACUCUGGGCU
rnacentral:tRNA from 1 species